UACAGAGGCCUCGAGCGUUAGGCGGAAUCACUGGGCUUAAAGCGUGUGUAGGCGGAUGCCUAAGUACCUUGUGAAAUCCCACAGCUCACCUGUGGAACUGCUUGGCAUACUGGCGAUCUUGAGCCACUUAGGGGCAACCGGAACAAACGGUGGAGCGGUGAAAUGCGUAGAUAUCGUUUGGAACGCCAAUGGUGAAAACAGGUUGCUGGGAGUGCGCUGACGCUGAGACACGAAAGCCAGGGGAGCGAACGGG
rnacentral:rRNA from 1 species